UCUCCACUGUUUGAACCUUAAACGGCAUGGUACCCUACGUCUGAAGAAAGUACAAAUGUGUUCUAUUGAUACUUUCUCAGCCGACGGGUACCGGACAUAUAUGGGUUCCCUAUUCCUAUUUU
rnacentral:precursor_RNA from 14 species